GGAUUAGCGGGUUCAAAAGCAGGUCAGGGGGAGCUAAGCGUGGCGACCAAGUCCGUGCUAGGUCAAGGUCCCUGGCAAAGGCUGGCUUGGGCGAUCUGCAGGAAGCCGCACCGGUCCGCAGCUGCCCAGCCAGGUACCAGAGACUUGCAAAGGGAACCCAUGCUCGUCUGUAAUAAUUUACAGGACCCCGUUUGGGCUCCCUGGUUGAGCGUGUGCUCACCUGAAAGACAGGAUUUCUCUUUUACAUUUUAACCUUUUCUUUCUUUUCUUCUUUCUGUUUGAGACAGGACCUCAUUCCGUAGCCCGGGUUGGCCUCCAGCUCAGGGCCAUCCUCCUGUGGAACCCCUGAGGUCACAGCGUGUCUCACCAAGCCCCACCUCUUUGUUUUUAUACUCCUUCUUUUCUGACCAGAUAAAUACAUCGACCCACGCAGGGGAGAAGUUUCCCAUUUCCAGCUCUGGAGAAAGCGCGGAAACCGAGGUGGCAGGGAGCUGUGGAAAGCGGAGGUUGCUUGGGAGAGGCCUGGGCUGUGGAGUCCCCGGGCGGCUCCCGCGACUUGUCUGUAAUGCUUCCGCGCUGUAGGCCCUGGAUGCUGGCGUGGCCGUGCAGG
rnacentral:lncRNA from 1 species